rnacentral:rRNA from 1 species
UACAGAGGGCCCAAGCGUUGUUCGGAUUCACUGGGCGUAAAGGGUGCGUAGGUGGUGAGGUAAGUCGGAUGUGAAAGCUCGGAGCUCAACUCCGAAAUGGCAUUGGAAACUACCUUGCUCGAGGGUUGGAGGGGGGACUGGAAUUUACGGUGUAGCGGUGAAAUGCGUAGAUAUCGUAAGGAAGACCAGUGGCGAAGGCGGGUCUCUGGACAGUUCCUGACGCUGAGGAACGAAGGCCAGGGGAGCAAACGGG